rnacentral:lncRNA from 1 species
GGGGCACAGACAAUCCUCAUUGUGAUUUUGGUUUAUUACAAUUUGAAGAAAAAGGCCAACUUGAUUGCAAUAUACUCUGAGUAUGUUGUGUUAUUAAGGGGAAAUGGCAUGAACAAGUUGCUUUCAACCUUCAUAGUGUUCAUUCAUUUCUAUUAAGAAAGGGAAACCUUAACAAAUGACAAUAAUGCAUGUAAGCUUUAGUAGCUAACAUGGUGCACCCUUAUUCUAAUGGAACCCUAUCAUGGCCUAGGACCUUACCCUAAGCCAC